GACGAACGCUGGCGGCGUGCUUAACACAUGCAAGUCGAACGGAAAGGCCCUGCUUUUGUGGGGUGCUCGAGUGGCGAACGGGUGAGUAACACGUGAGUAACCUGCCCUUGACUUUGGGAUAACUUCAGGAAACUGGGGCUAAUACCGGAUAGGAGCUUCUGCUGCAUGGUGGGGGUUGGAAAGUUUCGGCGGUUGGGGAGGGAUUCGCGGCUUAUCAGCUUGUUGGUGGGGUAGUGGCUUACCAAGGCUUUGACGGGUAGCCGGGCUGAGAGGGUGACCGGCCACAUUGCGACUGAAGUGCGGCCCGGACUCCUACGGGAGGCAGCGCUGGGGAAUAUUGUACAACGGGCGGGAGCGUGAUGCAGCAACGCCGCGUUCGGGAAGACGGCCAUCGGGUUGUAAACCGCUGUCGCCUGUGACGAGGCGUAAUUGACGGUAAUGGGUAAAGAAGCACCGGCUAACUACGUG
rnacentral:rRNA from 1 species